UGUGGCCGAGUGGUUUAAGGCAACGGUCUUGAAAACCGUCGAAGGGGAGACUCUUCCGUGAGUUCUUAUACUAGGAU
rnacentral:tRNA from 1 species